AGAUUAAACUGAAGAGUUUGAUCCUGGCUCAGAUUGAACGCUGGCGGCAUGCCUUACACAUGCAAGUCGAACGGCAGCGCGGGGCAACCUGGCGGCGAGUGGCGAACGGGUGAGUAAUAUAUCGGAACGUACCCUGGAGUGGGGGAUAACGUAGCGAAAGUUACGCUAAUACCGCAUACGAUCUAAGGAUGAAAGCAGGGGACCGCAAGGCCUUGUGCUCCUGGAGCGGCCGAUAUCUGAUUAGCUAGUUGGUGGGGUAAAGGCCCACCAAGGCAUCGAUCAGUAGCUGGUCUGAGAGGACGACCAGCCAC
rnacentral:rRNA from 1 species